CGUUGAAACACCUGUUCCCGUACGAUCACUGAAGUUAAGCAAUUUCGAGCCUGGUCAGUACCUACGUGGAUGACACAUUGGGAAUGCCAAAUGCUGGA